rnacentral:tRNA from 1 species
GUAGAAAUAGCUCAGGGGUAAAGAGCACUGGCUGCUCUGCCAAAGGACCCAGGUUCAAUUCCUAGUACCUACA